rnacentral:rRNA from 1 species
AGAGUUUGAUCCUGGCUCAGGAUGAACGCUGGCGGCGUGCCUAAUACAUGCAAGUCGAACGGGAGCACAUGUGCUCCAGUGGCGAACGGGUGAGGAAUACAUAGGUAACCUGCCCCUCCGAGGGGGACAACAGCUGGAAACGGCUGCUAAAACCGCAUAGGCAUGCUCUUCGCAUGAAGAGGAUGUCAAAGAGCCUUAUGGGCUCGCGGGGGGAUGGACCUAUGCCGCACUAGCUAGUUGGCGGGGCAACGGCCCACCAAGGCGACGAUGCGUAGCCGGCCUGAGAGGGCGGACGGCCACACUGGGACUGAGACACGGCCCAGACUCCUACGGGAGGCAGCAGUAGGGAAUUUUCGGCAAUGGGCGAAAGCCUGACCGAGCAACGCCGCGUGAGUGAAGAAGGCCUUCGGGUCGUAAAGCUCUGUUAUGAAGGAAGAACGUCCAUCAUAGGAAAUGAUGGUGGAGUGACGGUACUUCAUGAGAAAGCCACGGCUAACUACGUGCCAGCAGCCGCGGUAAUACGUAGGUGGCGAGCGUUAUCCGGAAUCAUUUGGGCGUAAAGAGGGAGCAGGCGGCGAUAGAGGUCUGCGGUGAAAGCCUGAAGCUAAACUUCAGCGAGCCGCGGAAACCAGAUGGCUAGAGUGCGGUAGAGGAUCGUGGAAUUCCAUGUGUAGCGGUGAAAUGCGUAGAUAUAUGGAGGAACACCAGUGGCGAAGGCGACGAUCUGGGCCUGCACUGACGCUCAGUCCCGAAAGCGUGGGGAGCAAAUAGGAUUAGAUACCCUAGUAGUCCACGCCGUAAACGAUGGUCACUAAGUGUCGGGGGGUCAAACCCCGGUGCUGCAGUCAACGCAAUAAGUGACCCGCCUGAGUAGUACGUUCGCAAGAAUGAAACUCAAAGGAAUUGACGGGGGCCCGCACAAGCGGUGGAGCAUGUGGGUUUAAUUCGAAGCAACGCGAAGAACCUUACCAGGUCUUGACAUACCUUCAAAGACCCCGGAGACGGGGGGAUAGCUAUGGAGGAUACAGGUGGUGCAUGGGUUGUCGUUCAGCUCGUGUCGUGGGAUGUUGGGUUAAGUCCCGCAACGAGCGCAACCCUUGUCGUCAGUUGCCAGCAUUCAGUUGGGGACUCUGGCGAGACUGCCUCUGCAAGGAGGAGGAAGGCGGGGAUGACGUCAAAUCAUCAUGCCCCUUAUGACCUGGGCCACACACGUGCUACAAUGGCCGGUACAGAGGGCAGCUACACAGUGAUGUGAUGCGAAUCUCGAAAGCCGGUCUCAGUUCGGAUCGGAGUCUGCAACCCGACUCCGUGAAGUUGGAUUCGCUAGUAAUCGCAGAUCAGCCAUGCUGCGGUGAAUACGUUCCCGGGCCUUGUACACACCGCCCGUCAAGCCAUGGAAGCUGGGGGUACCUGAAGUUCGUGACCGCAAGGAGCGACCUAGGGCAAAACUAGUAACUGGGGCUAAGUCGUAACAAGGUAACC